GGUUAAGCGACUAAGCGUACACGGUGGAUGCCCUGGCAGUCAGAGGCGAUGAAGGACGUGCUAAUCUGCGAAAAGCGUCGGUAAGGUGAUAUGAACCGUUAUAGCCGGCGAUGUCCGAAUGGGGAAACCCAGUGCAAUUCGUUGCACUAUCGUUAACUGAAUACAUAGGUUAACGAGGCGAACCGGGGGAACUGAAACAUCUAAGUACCCCGAGGAAAAGAAAUCAACCGAGAUUCCCCCAGUAGCGGCGAGCGAACGGGGAGCAGCCCAGAGUCUGAAUCAGCUUGUGUGUUAGUGGAACGGUCUGGAAAGUCCGACGGUACAGGGUGAUAGUCCCGUACACCAAAAUGCACAGGCUGUGAACUCGAAGAGUAGGGCGGGACACGUGGUAUCCUGUCUGAAUAUGGGGGGACCAUCCUCCAAGGCUAAAUACUCCUGACUGACCGAUAGUGAACCAGUACCGUGAGGGAAAGGCGAAAAGAACCCCGGCGAGGGGAGUGAAAAAGAACCUGAAACCGUGUACGUACAAGCAGUGGGAGCACCUUCGGGUGUGACUGCGUACCUUUUGUAUAAUGGGUCAGCGACUUAUAUUCUGUAGCAAGGUUAACCGUAUAGGGGAGCCGCAGGGAAACCGAGUCUUAACUGGGCGUUAAGUUGCAGGGUAUAGACCCGAAACCCGGUGAUCUAGCCAUGGGCAGGUUGAAGGUUGGGUAACACUAACUGGAGGACCGAACCGACUAAUGUUGAAAAAUUAGCGGAUGACUUGUGGCUGGGGGUGAAAGGCCAAUCAAACCGGGAGAUAGCUGGUUCUCCCCGAAAGCUAUUUAGGUAGCGCCUCGUGAAUUCAUCUUCGGGGGUAGAGCACUGUUUCGGCUAGGGGGUCAUCCCGACUUACCAACCCGAUGCAAACUACGAAUACCGAAGAAUGUUAUCACGGGAGACACACGGCGGGUGCUAACGUCCGUCGUGAAGAGGGAAACAACCCAGACCGCCAGCUAAGGUCCCAAAGUCAUGGUUAAGUGGGAAACGAUGUGGGAAGGCACAGACAGCCAGGAUGUUGGCUUAGAAGCAGCCAUCAUUUAAAGAAAGCGUAAUAGCUCACUGGUCGAGUCGGCCUGCGCGGAAGAUGUAACGGGGCUAAACCAUGCACCGAAGCUGCGGCAGCGACACUAUGUGUUGUUGGGUAGGGGAGCGUUCUGUAAGCCUGCGAAGGUGACCUGUGAGGGUUGCUGGAGGUAUCAGAAGUGCGAAUGCUGACAUAAGUAACGAUAAAGCGGGUGAAAAGCCCGCUCGCCGGAAGACCAAGGGUUCCUGUCCAACGUUAAUCGGGGCAGGGUGAGUCGACCCCUAAGGCGAGGCCGAAAGGCGUAGUCGAUGGGAAACAGGUUAAUAUUCCUGUACUUGGUGUUACUGCGAAGGGGGGACGGAGAAGGCUAUGUUAGCCGGGCGACGGUUGUCCCGGUUUAAGCAUGUAGGCUGGUUGUCCAGGCAAAUCCGGAUAAUCAAGGCUGAGGUGUGAUGACGAGGCACUACGGUGCUGAAGUAACAAAUGCCCUGCUUCCAGGAAAAGCCUCUAAGCAUCAGGUAACAUCAAAUCGUACCCCAAACCGACACAGGUGGUCAGGUAGAGAAUACCAAGGCGCUUGAGAGAACUCGGGUGAAGGAACUAGGCAAAAUGGUGCCGUAACUUCGGGAGAAGGCACGCUGGUGUGUAGGUGAAGUCCCUGCGGAUGGAGCUGAGACCAGUCGAAGAUACCAGCUGGCUGCAACUGUUUAUUAAAAACACAGCACUGUGCAAACACGAAAGUGGACGUAUACGGUGUGACGCCUGCCCGGUGCCGGAAGGUUAAUUGAUGGGGUUAUCCGUAAGGAGAAGCUCUUGAUCGAAGCCCCGGUAAACGGCGGCCGUAACUAUAACGGUCCUAAGGUAGCGAAAUUCCUUGUCGGGUAAGUUCCGACCUGCACGAAUGGCGUAAUGAUGGCCAGGCUGUCUCCACCCGAGACUCAGUGAAAUUGAACUCGCUGUGAAGAUGCAGUGUACCCGCGGCAAGACGGAAAGACCCCGUGAACCUUUACUAUAGCUUGACACUGAACAUUGAGCCUUGAUGUGUAGGAUAGGUGGGAGGCUUUGAAGCGUGGACGCCAGUCUGCGUGGAGCCAACCUUGAAAUACCACCCUUUAAUGUUUGAUGUUCUAACGUUGGCCCCUUACCGGGGUUGCGGACAGUGUCUGGUGGGUAGUUUGACUGGGGCGGUCUCCUCCCAAAGCGUAACGGAGGAGCACGAAGGUUAGCUAAUCCUGGUCGGACAUCAGGAGGUUAGUGCAAUGGCAUAAGCUAGCUUGACUGCGAGCGUGACGGCGCGAGCAGGUGCGAAAGCAGGUCAUAGUGAUCCGGUGGUUCUGAAUGGAAGGGCCAUCGCUCAACGGAUAAAAGGUACUCCGGGGAUAACAGGCUGAUACCGCCCAAGAGUUCAUAUCGACGGCGGUGUUUGGCACCUCGAUGUCGGCUCAUCACAUCCUGGGGCUGAAGUAGGUCCCAAGGGUAUGGCUGUUCGCCAUUUAAAGUGGUACGCGAGCUGGGUUUAGAACGUCGUGAGACAGUUCGGUCCCUAUCUGCCGUGGGCGCUGGAGAAUUGAGGGGGGCUGCUCCUAGUACGAGAGGACCGGAGUGGACGCAUCACUGGUGUUCGGGUUGUCAUGCCAAUGGCACUGCCCGGUAGCUAAAUGCGGAAGAGAUAAGUGCUGAAAGCAUCUAAGCACGAAACUUGCCCCGAGAUGAGUUCUCCCUGAGACUUUAAGUCUCCUGAAGGAACGUUAAAGACGAUGACGUUGAUAGGCCGGGUGUGUAAGCGCAGCGAUGCGUUGAGCUAACCGGUACUAAUGAACCGUGAGGCUUAACCUU
rnacentral:rRNA from 1 species